UACGAAGGGGACUAGCGUUGCUCGGAAUCACUGGGCGUAAAGGGUGCGUAGGCGGGUCUUUAAGUCAGGGGUGAAAUCCUGGAGCUCAACUCCAGAACUGCCUUUGAUACUGAGGAUCUUGAGUUCGGGAGAGGUGAGUGGAACUGCGAGUGUAGAGGUGAAAUUCGUAGAUAUUCGCAAGAACACCAGUGGCGAAGGCGGCUCACUGGCCCGAUACUGACGCUGAGGCACGAAAGCGUGGGGAGCAAACAGG
rnacentral:rRNA from 1 species